CCCCAAUGUAUAAGAUGGAGCGGAAACACAGCAGGACCAGCCGCCCUCCAUUGGCAUUUUGAGAGUUGGACGAUGUCAAGCUGAGAACUAUUCCUAGAACAGCUUGACUGGAUAUCUGCGGAUGGAGAUGGGAUACGAAAUUCUGACCCU